rnacentral:lncRNA from 1 species
AUGUCAAGACAUGACUUUUGCUUUCAAACACAAGAGGUGGAGACAGACUUGUUGGCAGAUUUCUGUUGUAAUUUGCUAUGUGAGACCCUCUGGAGGGAUUGUGCGGAGGCCUAUGGAUUCAUAAAAAAAACAGAAUCGGAUCACAGAUGGACUGAGGACCUGUCUUUGAGAAGUACUGGACCCAAGAAGCAUGGUAAGUUUGACUUUUAUUACUAGCUGCCUUGGCCCACUAGUGAACAACUUCUAGACUUAGCCUUUUAAGUUUCUUCUAACGCACUUUAAGAUUGCAUAGCCAGUUACAGCCCAGCACAUAUAGGUUGACAGGAUUCUUAUUUUCUUCCCUUCUAACUUCUUGGGUGGUUACCAUUUUACUUACCUCAGGUAAUCCUCAAAUAGCCUUUGAAUACAAGUGUUCCACAGUAGGAUAACUAUGGUUGACAACAUUGUUUUUGUUUUACUUAUUCCAAAAACAAAUCAAUUAAAUUUAUUUAUUUGAGAUUAGAGAGACAGGGAGAGAAAGAAAGACCUCCCAUCUUCUGAUUCACUUCCCAAAUGCUUGCAGCAGCCAGGACUAGACUGGGCUGAAGUUGGGAGCCAGGAUUUUUCAUUUCAUGUGGGUGGCAGGAACCCAACAACUUAACCCAUCAUCUGCUGCCUCUCAGGACCCAUAUUAGCAGGAAGCUAGAAUCAGGAGUGGAGCUGUGUAUUGAACCCAGGAACUCUAACAUAGGUCCAGGGUUGUUUUAAUAAGAGUCUUCACUACGGGGCCAUAUGUCCACCUCCAAAUUUGUUUUUUGAACACUCAGGUCACCAGAUUAUGACAGAUGAGAAAGAAGGCACCAAAAUGGCUACUCGCUAAUAGCUGAGAGGAGGCUAAAGUUAUUCUUCUAUACCAAAACAUUGAAACACAAGUAAAAACAUUCACAACACUCUGCGGAGUACAAUAAGUAGCAUUUUUUUGGUGAAUUAUAACCAGUUGCAUAUAAUAAUGUUAAUUGUACCAUACCAUGAACAUCUACAGAAUUACAUGAAAGUGUGAUUAUUACACCAUAUAUUGUACAAAGUGUUGGAGAAGCUCAUGUGUGUUUAAAUGAAAAGAUCUGCAAGAUGACAAUCAUUUUUCAGUGUCUACUACAGGAAAAGUUCCUCUGACUGUCAAAUAUUGUUAUUAUGCAAACUUCUUGAAGAAUCAUAUUAAAACAUAUUAAGAUACAAUAAAUUUCCUUUUUCUCACA